CAACUUAGGGGGCAGCCCCAUAGAUUCCCCCUAUAGGGUUGCAUGUGAGCCCCACAACUUAUGGGGCAGCCCCAUAGAUUCCCCCUAUAGGGUUGCAUGUGAGCCCCACAACUUAUGGGGCUGCCCCAUAGAUUCCCCCUAUAGAGCUGCUCAAGCCCCAUAACUUAUGGGGCAGCCCCAUAGAUUUCCCCUAUAGGGUUGCAUGUGAGCCCCACAACUUAUGGGGCUGCCCCAUAGAUUCCCCCUAUAGAGCUGCUCAAGCCCCACAACUUAUGGGGCUGCCCCAUAGAUUUCCCCUAUUGAGUUGCAUUUGAGCCCCACAACUUCUGGGGCUGCCC